rnacentral:piRNA from 1 species
UGAUAGUUCCAUGUUAAAAUUUGGGAUAAA